rnacentral:rRNA from 1 species
GUCUAAAUAUACUUGAUAGUACCUUACUACUUGGAUAACCGUGGUAAUUCUAGAGCUAAUACAUGCUAAAAACCCAGACUUCGGAAUGGGUGUAUUUAUUAGAUAAAAAACCAAUGCCCUUCGGGGCUCCUUGGUGAUUCAUGAUAACUUAACGAAUCGCAUGGCCUUGUGCCGGCGAUGGUUCAUUCUAUAUUCUGCCCUAUCAACUUCCGAUGGUAGGAUAGUGGCCUACCAUGGUUUCAACGGGUAACGGGGAAUUAGGGUUCUAUUCCGGAGAGGGAGCCUGAGAAACGGCUACCACAUCCAAGGAAGGCAGCAGGCGCGCAAAUUACCCAAUCCCGACACGGGGAGGUAGUGACAAUAAAUACUGAUCUUGGGCCAUUUUUGGUCUAAGAAUUGGAAUGAGUACAAUUUAAAUCCCUUAACGAGGAACAAUUGGAGGGCAAGUCUGGUGCCAGCAGCCGCGGUAAUUCCAGCUCCAAUAGCGUAUAUUAAAGUUGUUGCAGUUAAAAAGCUCGUAGUUGAACCUUGG